UUAGUGGGGGAUAGCCCGGCGAAAGCCGGAUUAAUACCGCAUACGACCUACGGGUGAAAGCGGGGGACUCGCAAGAGCCUCGCGCUAUUGGAGCGGCCGAUGUCAGAUUAGCUAGUUGGUGGGGUAAAAGCCUACCAAGGCGACGAUCUGUAGCUGGUCUGAGAGGACGACCAGCCACACUGGGACUGAGACACGGCCCAGACUCCUACGGGAGGCAGCAGUGGGGAAUUUUGGACAAUGGGCGCAAGCCUGAUCCAGCCAUGCCGCGUGCGGGAAGAAGGCCUUCGGGUUGUAAACCGCUUUUGUCAGGGAAGAAACGCUCUGGGCUAAUACCCCGGGGUAAUGACGGUACCUGAAGAAUAAGCACCGGCUAACUACGUGCCAGCAGCCGCGGUAAUACGUAGGGUGCAAGCGUUAAUCGGAAUUACUGGGCGUAAAGCGUGCGCAGGCGGGUAUGCAAGACAGAUGUGAAAUCCCCGGGCUCAACCUGGGAACCGCA
rnacentral:rRNA from 1 species